CUUGAUGUCCUCAAGACAUUUAUGAACCUGAUGGAGAACUUACAGGAACUAAAAGAUUUAAUACCAGAAGAAAGUUUCAUGCUGGUGAACAGUAUCCAACUUCUUUAGGCUCUGGUCCGCUGCAUUCAUAAAGAGCACAGAGCUGCUGAUAUCAAGUGUUUCCUUGCCUGGAGGGAGAAACAGGAUUUAUUCCUGAAGAAGAAACUCAACUCAGCUAUGCAGCAAAGGUGAAGGUGUACUCGGUGGUUACUGGUAAAACUUUUGGAGCCCAUCAAGUCCUACUGGACAAAGUGAAGAAUGU